rnacentral:rRNA from 1 species
UCCGUAGGUGAACCUGCGGAAGGAUCAUUAUUGAAUUUAAUGAAGGGAUAUUUGGUUGUAGCUGGCUCAUGAAUUUGGGCAUGUGCACACCUAUCUCUUUCAUCCACACACACCUGUGCACUUGUGAGGCAGAUGGGGAAUUUAUUGAUUGUUUUUUAAGAACAAUUGGUGCUGGACCCUCUGUCUACUCAAUACAUAAACUCAAUUUAUUUAGAAAUGAAUGUAAUGGAUGUAACGCAUCUAAUACUAAGUUUCAACAACGGAUCUCUUGGCUCUCGCAUCGAUGAAGAACGCAGCGAAAUGCGAUAAGUAAUGUGAAUUGCAGAAUUCAGUGAAUCAUCGAAUCUUUGAACGCACCUUGCGCUCCUUGGUAUUCCUUGGAGCAUGCCUGUUUGAGUAUCAUGAAACCUUCAAAGUAAAUCUUUUGUUAACUCAAUUGGUUCUACUUUGGUAUUGGAGGUCUUUGCAGCUUCACACCUGCUCCUCUUUGUUCAUUAGCUGGAUCUCAGUGUUAUGCUUGGUUCCACUCAGCGUGAUAAGUUAUCUAUCGCUGAGGACACUGUAACAGGUGGCCAAGGGAAAUGCAGAUGAACCGCUUCUAAUAGUCCAUUGACUUGGACACUAUUUUUAUGAUCUGAUCUCAAAUCAGGUAGGACUACCCGCUGAACUUAAGCAUAUCAAUAAGCGGAGGA